rnacentral:rRNA from 1 species
AACGAACGUUAGCGGCGCGCCUAACACAUGCAAGUCGAACGCGACAGGGGCAACUCUGUUGAGUGGCGCACGGGUGAGUAACACGUAGGUAAUCUCCCCCCGAGUGGUGGAUAACCUUCCGAAAGGAGGGCUAAUACAGCAUAAGACCACGGCUUCGAAAGGAGCUGAGGUCAAAGCGGAGGAUCGCAAGACUUCGCGCUUGGGGAUGAGCCUGCGGCCCAUCAGGUAGUUGGCGGGGUAACAGCCCACCAAGCCUAAGACGGGUAGCUGGUCGGAGAGGAUGAGCAGCCACACGGGAACUGAGACACGGUCCAGCGUCCUACGGGAGGCAGCAGUGGGGAAUCUUGCGCAAUGGACGAAAGUCUGACGCAGCGACGCCGCGUGGGUGAUGAAGGCCUUCGGGUUGUAAAGCCCUGUGGGGAGGGACGAAUAAGUUUCAGCUAAUACCUGAAGCGAUGACGGUACCUCCUUAGCAAGCACCGGCUAACUCUGUGCCAGCAGCCGCCGUAA